rnacentral:rRNA from 1 species
CCUACGGGAGGCUGCAGUGGGGAUUUUUUUACAAUGGGGGCAACCCUGAUCCAGCCAUGCCGCGUGUGUGAAGAAGGCCCUCGGGUUGUAAAGCACUUUCAGUGAGGAAGAACGCCUGGUGGUUAAUACCCAUCAGGAAAGACAUCACUCACAGAAGAAGCACCGGCUAACUCCGUGCCAGCAGCCGCGGUAAUACGGAGGGUGCGAGCGUUAAUCGGAAUUACUGGGCGUAAAGCGCGCGUAGGUGGCUUGAUAAGCCGGUUGUGAAAGCCCCGGGCUCAACCUGGAAACGGCAUCCGGAACUGUCAAGCUAGAGUGCAGGAGAGGAAGGUAGAAUUCCCGGUGUAGCGGUGAAAUGCGUAGAGAUCGGGAGGAAUACCAGUGGCGAAGGCGGCCUUCUGGACUGACACUGACACUGAGGUGCGAAAGCGUGGGUAGCAAACAGGAUUAGAUACCCCGGUAGUC